UUGCCUCUGAGACACCGGCCCAGACUCCUACGGGAGGCAGCAGUAGGGAAUCUUCCACAAUGGACGAAAGUCUGAUGGAGCAACGCCGCGUGAGCGAAGAAGGUUUUUCGGAUCGUAAAGCUCUGUUGUAAGGGAAGAACAAGUGACGAGGAGUAACUGCGUCGGUACCUUGAGCGGUAUCCUAACUAUAAA
rnacentral:rRNA from 1 species